rnacentral:lncRNA from 1 species
UUUUAUGUAGGUAAAAGAUUAGACCAUUGAGUUGGAGUUUGAGUUGGAAUUUAUAAGAUAUAUUUAUUUUGUUAAUGUAGUAUAGCAAAAAAUAUGAUGUGGACAAAACUGUUUGGUAUUUUUUUGUAAUUAAAAGCAAUAUAUAAAAUUUAGGUAUUUUGAUAAAUAUUUAAAAUGCAUCAAACUUAAAAAUUAAUGAUCGAAUUUUGUUUUGAAAUUGUAGGUAUCGAAA